rnacentral:tRNA from 1 species
AGAGAGGUGGCCGAGCGGUUUAAGGCGCACGCCUGGAAAGUGUGUAUACGCCAAAAGCGUAUCGAGGGUUCGAAUCCCUUCCUCUCUG